rnacentral:rRNA from 1 species
UACGUAGGGUCCGAGCGUUUGUCCGGAAUUACUGGGCGUAAAGAGCUCGUAGGUGGUUUGUCGCGUUGUUCGUGAAAACUCACAGCUCAACUGUGGGCGUGCGGGCGAUACGGGCAGACUAGAGUACUGCAGGGGAGACCGGAAUUCCUGGUGUAGCGGUGGAAUGCGCAGAUAUCAGGAGGAACACCGGUGGCGAAGGCGGGUCUCUGGGCCGAUACUGACGCUGAGGAGCGAAAGCGUGGGGAGCGAACAGG